rnacentral:rRNA from 1 species
CCUACGGGGAGCUGCAGUGGGGAAUAUUGGACAAUGGGCGAAAGCCUGAUCCAGCCAUGCCGCGUGUGUGAAGAAGGCCUUCGGGUUGUAAAGCACUUUCAGUGGGGAAGAAAGCCUUGGGGCUAAUACCCUCGAGGAAGGACAUCACCCACAGAAGAAGCACCGGCUAACUCCGUGCCAGCAGCCGCGGUAAUACGGAGGGUGCGAGCGUUAAUCGGAAUUACUGGGCGUAAAGCGCGCGUAGGCGGUCUGAUAAGCCGGUUGUGAAAGCCCCGGGCUCAACCUGGGAACGGCAUCCGGAACUGUCAGGCUAGAGUGCAGGAGAGGAAGGUAGAAUUCCCGGUGUAGCGGUGAAAUGCGUAGAGAUCGGGAGGAAUACCAGUGGCGAAGGCGGCCUUCUGGACUGACACUGACGCUGAGGUGCGAAAGCGCGGGUAGCAAACAGGAUUAGAUACCCUAGUAGUC